CGUUCGUAGUUAAAAGGUAUAAUUUUUUGGUUGCCAACCAGAAGUUGAGGGUUCGAUUCCCUCCGACCGCACCA
rnacentral:tRNA from 1 species